GCUUGUUUGUGAUGAACAAGUCAUCUGUAUCUGAGAAAGACGGCCCUUGAAUAAGUGCUUCUUCCUUGAUUGUGCAUCCAAAACUGAUCUAAUAUUCUGAGAAAGAC